CAGCCCCACCGACGCUUCUCCGAGGCCGCCGUCAGGUGCUCAUUUCUUACUACUCGCGAAACCACGAGAAGAGCAGCGCCGCGUCGCAGAGCAAUGGCAUACCGCAGGACUCGGUCACCAGUCCGAGAUUGUAGGCAUGCAUUGUGUAAAUAUAUAAGCAUUUAUGAAAGAUCGAAAAGGCUGUGACAGUAUCUGGCGCAUAGUUUUAAAUCUCCCGCUAUAGCCUUUUGAGGCAGAGGGCCGCUAUUUGUGUUCUUGUACAAUUUAGCCGCUAUAUCCCGCUAUAGCCCGAUUUAGCUCCGCUAUUAGCUGUUUUAGACAUAAACCGCUAAACAACUUAGCCCGCUAUUUAAAACAUUGAUCUGGCGAGUGUGUGUUUCAGAAGUAAUGGCUUUGCUCAGUUGCUGAAUUUCCGUGUUGCUAUCUAGGCAUCCCGCUUUCCAUCUACAGGUUGCAGGGUUGUGAUUGCCGCGGUGCUCCUUGCAUAAAUAAAAUUUUCCUACUAUUCUACACAGGGGUGGAGCCACCCAUAUGGCAAGGUAUGGCGCUUGCCAUAUCUCAAUUUCUCAGUGGCUCUCUCUUAAAUUACUUCCUGCCAUUAGCGCUUCUUGUAGAUUGAGUUUUCACUCUAAACUGCUGCUCUGAAUACUCUGAAUAAGGCUCGUUGAAGGCUGAAUGCUUCUAUCUGAACAUCUGUUCUGAACGAUGAAGAUUACAUCUUCGACACAAACAUAUAUGAUUGGGAGUUCUAUCAAGUAGAUGGGCUAAAGGGGGCUUGAGAUUGUCUUAUCCGGUGUCACUGCCAUAGAAGUAGACAAUGAAACAGUUGAUGACGAGGACCCUGGAGAUGUAGUGCUGAAUCCGAAGGACAUUGAAAUGCUUGAGCAAUUCCAUUUAGGCAGAGACAAUGAAGAUGACAUAGAACCUUGAGAUAAUGUUGCCCAUUUAGACAAUAUUGACAGUGAUGACGAGUCCUAUGACCCCAGCAAUGAAGAUAUUCCUAAAGCAU
rnacentral:lncRNA from 1 species